UGUCAUCCUGGUCGUCUUGUGACUGCGGGUUAAUGGGGGCGCGUGAUAGGCAGUCGGCAUCCGAGUGUUUGCGUCCAGCGUUGUAGCUUAGAGUGAUGUA
rnacentral:lncRNA from 1 species